rnacentral:lncRNA from 1 species
ACCAUAAUCUGGGAUUUGUUUGGUAUCAUACACCCUUUUACCUGACGGUUUUCCCUGCUUGCUCUUGGAAUCAAAGGAAUAGGUGGGUGGAGCCUUAAUGUUUCUUUGACUACCAUCUUCAGGUACACUAGUUUCUGGACAUCAUCCUCUUCAAUUAGCUUCUUACCCUUAAAGACUUGCCUUACUUCUGCCUGUGCCUUUGCCAUCACUCUCGAAUGCUUCAUCAAUUCUGCCAUUGCCCAUUCACUUGUUACAGAUGCAGUAUCUGUUCCACCAGUGAAAAUGUCCUGUAUGAAUAAAAUGGAACGAGUUUUUUAGUAUCACAUCAAAACUAACAAGAAAAGAGAACAUGAAGGUAAUCUGGUUAAUUUGCAUCAUACAAAAACCACAGCUUUUAUAUCCUUGCUUGUGAUUGGCAUCUGAGGGUUGCCACUUUCCUGCUCUCUCAAUAGAACAUCAAUCAAAUCUUCUUCACCGGUCUCGGCGUUGCUCUUCUUUCCACUUUUAUGGUUCAGUUUAUGUUGACUGAUCACAUCAUCAAGAAUCGAAUCUAUCUUAUAGUGCAUCUUGAGCAAUUUACGCCUUAACCCGCUGAUAAGAGGAAGUACUUUCAGGGAUGGAAACAUAUCAGCUGCAUCAAAGCCUGCUGCUAAAGCUAUCCCCUCCUUGACGUAUGCAAUCAUUGUUUCGUAUUCCUUGCAUAUUCUACCAAAGGCUGCUCUGCAAGUCAUCAAAC